GAGAACAAGAAAAAGGUAAAACCCUAGCCGCCAAACCUUCUCCUCCCCACUCCAUCCUCUCCCACGCCGCCACACCCUCUCCUCACGCGCCUCAGCGCCCUCCCCUCCUCCCUGUGCCGCCGGCCCCCUUCCUUCUCCCCGCGCUAGAGCAGAGAUGCGCCUCAGUAUGGCAGCAGCAGUACCGUCUCCAUGGACGCGGCGGCGUGACGGCUCCCAGGCACGGAUCCCCUCCUCCGCCUCCAUCCUCCACCUCUCCGGUCGCCCUGUUGCAACCGUGAGCUCUCCCUUUCCUUGACUACUCUCCUCUCUCACAUCACAUCAGAUCGGAUCGGAACCCUGCUUUCUUUUUCUGUUCGAUUCAGUCUGGAGCAGCAGCAACUGAUUUCCAUCUUCCAGUUCAUGUAAAUGGCCUUGUUGUGGUUGCACGGUGGUCCGUGGGGAACAGGAGCAAAUACCUUUGCUACAACCGAGGUCUUGACAGACCAGUCAGUUAGAGAUAGGUUCGGUGAGUCAUUUUACCCUCUGUUUAUCCCUCUCAGAUUAGCAGAGAAGAAGGAUCUUUUUUUAUCCCCUUUUGAUUUCCUCUCUUGUUUGACUGGAACCUUUUUUCAUAGUUUUGCAGGGGUUGUUAUGCUCUGUCCCCCGUGGUAAGUUUGCUAGGCAGCGGCUUACUCCUAGCUUGUUUUUUUUAGUUUUGACCAUGAUAUCGAAAUUACAUCUGGUCGAUGGUGUCAAGUUUAGGCAGGUACCAUCCGCAUUUUGUGAAGAUUGCCAUCAUCUAAAUUUUAUUGCGGCAUGAUGCAUAUGUAAUAAGGAAUUUGGUGUUUGAAAAGCAUCAUCGGAAGUUGGUAUGCUAAUAUCUCAAUUGGCAAGAUAAAAGGAUCACUACUUCUUACCUUCCAGUCAUUUUAAUAUUAUAGGAAUGCAAGUGUGUACUAAGUAGAAAAGAUGGUUGAAUUUAGUGCCCCUGCAUUUACACGACUAGGUGUUAUUUAGUUUUUGUUUCCUUUGAUGGCUCUGAGUACAAAUUGGAGCUUGUUGGGUACAAAAUGUUGCCAAGAUUAGUUUAGGAUCAGAAUUGUUGUCAUGUUGUCCAGAUAUUGCUCUAAGAGGUUCCUAGAAUUAGUUUAGGAUCAGAGUUAUUGUCAUGUUGUCUAGAUAUUGCUCUAAAGAUUCCGGACGUACUUUUUAGGUUGCUUGGUUAUAAUUUUUGCCCCCCAAAGGGAAGCUUUGGCCAGCUUCUUGCUAGAAUGUUAUCAUAAGGCUUGAUUAGUUUAGAACAUACCUUUGUCGUUUCACUCUUAUUUUAUUUUAAUAGUUAUCUGGCAUGCUGUAAACUAUUUCUUUUAUGUUUCCAGGAAGAAAUAGAAGUUGAGGGGAAGCUAUUGCAUGCUGGAAAAUCAGUUGGUGUUGUCAAUGUUGGUUUCAAGAAGAAAAGGACCGGCAAAUUGAUGGCUCAGGCACGUCAUACAAAGUACUUGUAUCUAGCAGAUUGAGAGGGUUCCCUUAUGUUGUAAGAUAAAAACCUGGUUAUAUGUUGCAUCUCAAAAUCAAGAUGUUGAUUCAAGAAGAGAAAGGAGCUGUUAGUGUGCCGUGGUGAGCGACCUUGUCCCGGAGCAUGCAGUUUAUCAGUAUAAAGUAACGGGUUCAUGCUUUAUACAUCGUGUAUAUAUGCCAGCCAGGGAGGUGGAUGGGCUCGUCUCCACUGCGUCGUGAGCGCCGCCGCCGCCUCUGUGACCACCUUGCUCCGCAUAGUAGCAUGUGUGAGGAAUCGGGGACAAAGCAACCACAAGCAGAUGGCGUCGGCUGCGACGGCAAUAUGCACGGUGCGCGAAGCCUGGUAAGAUGGGCGCGGCCUCCCCACAGGCGUUUCAGGAUGGCGUGCCCGGCGGCUCGGAACGUGCGCGCCCGGCGCACAGGAGGUGUGUCUUGGAGCAGCAUGCUGGCGGUAACAUGCACCCUGAGGUCCCAGAGCAGCCCAACCAGUACAGGAGGAACCCUGCCAUUCCAUCCUCACCUCUACUCAUAGACCAACAACAAAAUGGUUGCUAAUGAAAGGUUUAAGUCCAGGUAUACUCAAAUCAAGGUCUUUUAUCUAAUUGGUUGGAUAACUACUUUACAGGUCUAUGCCUUUUAAGUAAAACUUAAAACCCCUGUUCAAGAAUUCAUUCGACUAACCAGUUAACUUGCCGAUUAAUCUCUACUCGUAGGGUCACCGAGUAGCCGAUAAAUCGAUAAAUCAUCCGAUUAAUUGAUUAAAUGGCAGAUUAACUUGCCGAUUAGCCUAUUAAUCCCCUACUCACCAGCCAACCGAGCAGCUACCAGUAAACGAUUUCCUCAACAAUGCUUAAAACUAAGCAUUUAAUUAUUGUUCUAUUGUGUUAUUGAUUUCACCGGCUUUAUGUCAGCCUGAUUAGUUCUAAGGGAUUCCACAUCGGCUAAUUUGGAUUAUGCUACUUUCGAACAAAAAUAAUGAUCAACGUCGUGUAUUUUACUUUUAAGUAUAAACGAACAGUAAAAGAUGAGAUAGGGGGCUCUUGCUAGGAUAAUAACAGCAAAAAACUCAAUGCACAUAUCUGAGGAUUUUUAUUUGCAGGCUGAGAUUCUGUACAUUGAUAUGAUGUACUCCCUCUGUAAAUAAAUAUAAGAGUGUUUAGAUAACUAAAGUAGUGAUCCAAACGCUCUUAUAUUUCUUUACAGAGGGAGUAUAAGAGAAAUAAUUUAUUUACUUAUUUGGAGAUUAGCCUUUUAGUAUAGGAGUGUGAUUUCCAGCAAAAAUAAAAUAUAGGACUGUGAUACUUCAAGAUAUUCAUGAAAACAAGUAUUUGAUAUGUAAACAUCUAUAUAACUACAUGUUUAUGUGUUUUUCAUCCUUUUUCAUGUUCAAAUAAAGAUAUAUUUGUGGUUUUUGCUCUGUGCCGAUCAUGUUUUGGAAGGAUAUUUUCUAUGGUAAUGUUGAAAUAAAGAUAUAUUACUUUUAAGAAAGGGGCACUAUAAAUUAUUGAAGCGCGCUGAAUAAUGUGAAAAAUGUCACAUAAUGAAACAUUAGUUGGUGCUAUCCAAACACGAUUCUGUACGUUCAGUAGUAAUGGGUCAUUCGCUUUGCUUGGUCAACCUUGCAACUAAAUCUGUAAGAUAACUUUGAAGUUCACUUUGCACCUAACGAAAAAAGUUGUCCAUUUUUUAAUUGAUCAGACAACAAUUGUUUUAUGUCUACGUGCCUUUUUUUGGUACUCAAAUAUGUUGAUUGGUGUAUCCUCUUUUUCAGCUUCAACAUUUGGCUCAUUCUGGUUUUUGGUAAUGCUUUCUUGACAGUGGAGCAGUCAUGGGCCUUUUAUAUGUGUGUAGGUUAUGUGGGAGCCUUUUAUAGAGCCCUCGUGUUUUCAUUUAAAUAUACUUCGAAAAUGUAGAUUGACAAUAAAGGUCACGAGGUCCAUUGCUAAUGAAUAAGUAGUCUUGCUGAAGGUGAUAAAUCUCCAAACUGAUGGAUAAGCCGAAGGUGAUAUUCAAGAGAUCCAUUUCUAAUGAAUAAGUAGUCUUGCUGAAGGUGAUAAAUAUCCAAACUGAUGGAUAGGCCGAAGGUGAUAUUCAACCUUUUUUAUACUGUAGUCGUGCUGAAGUGAAAGCAUCUGUGGAUGCAUGUAUACAUGAUUUUCAAUCUUCCUUUGUUGUCAAACUACGGCAUGUAAAGUAUGGGAGGACCAAGUGAUUAUAAACUGUGUCAAACCCAUGUCUUUACAUGAUUUUUCUAACAUGGAAGUAGUCACUUCAUGGAUACCGGAGUAUGUACAUAGAGCUGGAACGCUUAUUGCCUCAUGAUUUGCUAGUGAAAAAUCAAGCACGAGACAUGUGUUAGGAUGAUGGAUUUCGUUAUUAAAAAGAAGGAUGUAAUAUAAGAGCACUUGGAAUGCAUUAGACAUAUGUUUACAGCACUGUAAUUGUAGGAUUCCUGAUUUGUGAUGCAUAGUCCACUUGCAUUAAUUAGUUUUUGUAGUUCCUGUAUUUUAUUUCUUACCGCAAUAUUCUGGGUCGUUUCAAAAUUUCUGCUCUACACAGAACCUUAAGAAGUUUGGGUAUGCACACAGGUCCUAAUAAUAAUGAGCUGUUUAGUGCAAUGCAUGUGGCCUGAUUACUUCUUUUCUUUUGUACGUUGUACGUUCUUGGAGGUCCUUUUUCUCUCUUCUGUUGAUCAAGUUUUCUUCUUCUUUCUUCUGCUUAGCAAGGUUUCUUCCUUCCCUUUUUUUGUAGGAAUUGCAUUUAUUGUGUGACCUAUGUAUUGUCAGUGUUCUUGCUUCAUUGGUCGUGUUGAUAUUCCGGGUUUGGCCCGACAUUGUGUUUUCUUUUGCCUAUGUACAUUCAUAUCAUUAUACACAAUAUUCUCUUCCGUGUACAUUCAUAUCAUUAUACACAAACUAUUGUACUAAAAAGUGGUGCUGUAAUGUUCAUCUAUGUUAUGGAGUUGGUUUUUUUGAA